rnacentral:rRNA from 1 species
UACGUAGGGGGCAAGCGUUGUCCGGAAUUAUUGGGCGUAAAGAGCGUGUAGGCGGCCCGGCAAGUCCGCCGUGAAAGCCCAGGGCUCAACCCUGGAAUGCCGGUGGAAACUGUCGGGCUUGAGUUCGGAAGAGGCGAGUGGAAUUCCUGGUGUAGCGGUGAAAUGCGCAGAUAUCAGGAGGAACACCAAUGGCGAAGGCAGCUCGCUGGGACGACACUGACGCUGAGACGCGAAAGCGUGGGGAGCAAACAGG